AUAUAUAUAUGUGUGUGUGUGUGUAUGACGGUGAGUCAGAAAGUAAUGUCAUUUUGUUUAGGACAGGUAUAAUUACCAACACAGAACAUGUAUCAUACAUCAAAAUGAAACUGGUCCUCUGUGGAUCAUAUCCCUACUCCUCAACGUAGUCACCGUUUCUC